GACGAACCGUGCGAACGUUAUUCGGAAUCACUGGGCUUAAAGGGCGCGUAGGCGGGUUGCCAAGUCUGUGGUGAAAUCCUCCAGCUUAACUGGAGAACGGCCGUGGAUACUGGCGACCUCGAGGGGGGUAGGGGCUUGCGGAACUGUGCGUGGAGCGGUGAAAUGCGUUGAUAUGCACAGGAACUCCGGUGGCGAAGGCGGCGAGCUGGACCAUUUCUGACGCUGAGGCGCGAAAGCCAGGGGAGCGAAUGGG
rnacentral:rRNA from 1 species